UCUGUCUCUUCCCUGUCUCUCUCUCCCGUGUCUCCCUCUUCCUUCCCAUCACCAUAAACGUACGGACACACACAUAACUACACCAAAUCGACCCAGAUCGAGGAAACUAAAGGCACAGCUGAGAUCGUGAAGCUUGUGGGAGCACAACCGUACCAUUUUCAGUACAUAGAUAGCUUGGUGGUGUCCCAAGGAGUCUCGAAGUAGCUCGUUUGACGAAUUUGGACGUCGGGAAAGCUUGGUUCGAGGUUGGCCGAGUUUUGGAGCUUUGGACAGGUUCUAGUAGCUUAGCGGGUUCGGUGGUUUUCCCAGAGGACGUCCCAGCAUUCUGAUAGACACUCACCUAUGUAGGGUCACCUUCGGGUGCACUAUUGUCGUAUCGUUUCUUUUGGACUGCUGUAGGCCUUAGGCUCUGAAUUCAGCGACUUAUUUACGCUAGCACAUACUUUAUCACACUUUAUUUGCUAGUUUUAAAUUAUUCGUACUUUUAUAUUACUGUUUUUAGCUUC